AAUCGUUCAUUAAUUUUUUUGUUUUGUCCUUACGUUGAUCAUUAAUCUUGCAGUCUCUGAGGAGAGGUGUGAUGAAGUAGAGAGCCUAGUAUUUGAUCUUUUUGCAAAUCUUGGUGCUACAGAGGAGCAGCUAGAAUUCCCAGUUCUCUAUGCAUCUGCCAAAGAAGGGUGGGCAUCCUCCACCUUCACCAAAGAUCCUCCUGCUGAUGCAAGGAAUAUGUCACAGUUGCUUGAUGCCAUCAUAAGACAUGUUCCUCCACCAAAA